GAGGGAGAAGGUCUUACGGUUCCCGUCUUGUAUAAUUUGGUAUGCCUUGCUGACUGAGAAUACAGUGUUUAACGCAGACUUAACACAACCCAGUAAUAUCUUCGACUAUGGCACUUAAGUGCAAAAUUUGCAUCCAGCAGUAAAACAUAGAUUGCUGGAAGCCUUGGUAACUGCAACAACAGCACUAUCUGAAAAUCCUCCUUUGUCCCCUUUGCCUUUGGCACCUGGUUACAAAGCUGGAACACGGCCAGACAAUUUGAAUUCAUUGAAUCUCGACUCGAACGCUUCCGAAGAAGAAAUCUUCCAAAGGGUCAGCCACCUGCUGCCGUAUUCACUAGAAGAACUAAGAGAUAUGCAAUCACGACUGGGAAUCGAUGCAGUUGUUACCAUUAUCGUACAGGCCCUACUUGGCCAGCUUGUCAAUCUUGUACUAAUACCCUUCAUUAUUAGCAUAUUCACUGGUAUGAUUGCUGGAUAAGCUGGGAGUCUGCUUUACGACAACCACUCCGUUACGCUUCUUCAACUCUUUUUGUUAUCUAGUUUUUAUGAGGGGUUUCCUCAAAUCAAUUCAUAUUAAACUUGAUUGUUUCAUUCCUUUCCUACCU